GGGAGGGUGGAUGGUGUGAAGAGAAUACCUGUGUGUACCAUCACAUCCCAGGGAUGUAGGUCAGAGGGACCAGUGAGGGCUCCACCAAAAACCUACAAAAGCAUGCGAGAAAGAAACAAUCUAGGUUUAAAUGUGCCAUGGCCUAGAGAUUGUGAAGGCUUUCACAGUGGAAAGGAUUAAGUUUGCCUUCAGAUCAACACUGCAGCAGUGUAAAAUAGAAGUUUAUUCCUCUUAGAUAGAAGUGACCGAGUAAUUCAUGGAGAGUCUUUUCAGACAGGUUCUAUAUGCUUCACUGCACCCAUAGCCCGUGUGUGUGAGUCUCAGAGGAAGCUGCUCAAGUCCCAGACUUCCCAGAAAAGGAAGAAGAGGGGAAGCGUAUGCCUCCUCCCUUCAAGGAGGCCUUCGGGCUAUCCCGCCCAACCCCUUUCUUAUACCCCAUUCAUCAGAGUUCAGUCACCUGGUCACAUUUAGCCAACAGACUGGAGGAGGUGCAACCUCAACCCCAGUAGUGGUGGGCCCAGCCGAUCAUCGUGAUCUUGUCUAAAGUGCCAGAGGCAUUCCAUGACCUCUGUCCCUCCAUUUUUAUGACACCUAUCAGGAGCUCUUGCUCCACACCAGGAAGGACCAGUGCAGCAGCUGUGGCCCAGAGAAGGAAGUAGGCGAAAAGGAAGACACCACAGCCUGCCUGCAUAGACCAGGCAGGGUGAGGAUCCAGCAGAAGCUCCUCCUGCCUUGGUCUUCUUUGACAGUCAGUCGGUCUACACGUUCCACUCUCUUCUUGCUGUAUUCUGUGACGCUGCAACCUUGGGGACUUUCUCGUACCUCCCAGAGGCUGGAGAACGUGCUGCCUUUGAAACCGUUCCUUGCUUCUCAAGAGGAACCCGCUGCCAGCAGUGAAGCCUCUAGUGGUUUUUAUUCUACUCUAAGCACAUGCAGUAAACCAUGCAGGAAGUUCUGUAUGCACACUGGAAUUGGAGGAAAAGUCACAAUUACUACUAACUCAAUGUAUUUUCAUACUUUUUGGACACAGUCAGGUAUCUCUAAAUGACUAAACAUGUUUAUGUUUAUAUUCUUUUUCUGUGAUUCUGAUACCUGUCACUUUUGUCCAUAUGAUUUUGCAAAUUUUUUCUGACUCUUGCUUAUUGCAACUUUUCCACAUAAGUGUUUUAUGGUAUUUUAUUUGAAUGCUUGGUCACAUAAAUAUUAUCUUUGCAAUUUUUAUGUUCAUGUGGUUUAUGUAUAUGUAUGUGCUUAUGUGUAUAUAAUUAUGUUUUCUGAAUGGUAUGUGUGUAUGUUUUUAUGUGCACAUGUAUGAGUGUGUGUGUGUGUGUGUGUGUGUAGCCUAGAGGUCAAGGUCAAACGUCUUCCUCAG
ensembl:lncRNA